rnacentral:rRNA from 1 species
GUCCCGUAACGAGCGCAACCCUUGUCCUUAGUUACCAGCACGUUAUGGUGGGCACUCUAAGGAGGACUGCCGGGUGACAAACCGGAGGAAGGUGGGGAUGACGUCAAGUCAUCAUGGCCCUUACGGCCUGGGCUACACACGUGCUACAAUGGUCGGUACAAAGGGUUGCCAAGCCGCGAGGUGGAGCUAAUCCCAUAAAACCGAUCGUAGUCCGGAUCGCAGUCUGCAACUCGACUGCGUGAAGUCGGAAUCGCUAGUAAUCGUGAAUCAGAAUGUCACGGUGAAUACGUUCCCGGGCCUU